CAUCACAUUUACCCUAUAAAGACACACACAAUUAUUAUAUACCCAUAAUAAUUAAAAAAUUUUAAAAAUCACUUUGGGAGCUUAAAAAAUAUCCCUAUGCUAGGUUGUACCUCAAGCCAAUUAAAACUCAGACUUUCUAGCGAAGGACCCAAUCAUUACUAUGUUUUAAACUCCCUGUAUAAUUAUAAUGUGUAGCCAAGAUUGAGAACCAAUGGGAUUUCUAGGGCUCUACAAGCUACAAAAAUCUGUGAUUCAAGUAAGUUAUAUGGGGCAAUAUAAUUCCAUUCAAAUGCCAUUGAAAUACUUUUCUUGAAUCUAGAGAUUCUUUUAGUUUCUCUAAAGAUGUCUUGAAACAAUAUAGUUAUUUUAAAAUUAUUAUUUUGCUACCUCCUUUCUUGACUUCUAAAUUCUAACAGGUAUCUGGGCAACCUGGCCUUUUAGAACCUAGUCCCUAAGGGGAAAGGAAAGAGCUACUUAGGCACACUUACUCCUUCAAAGGGAGAGACAUAUUUCCAUACAAUUAAUACUCAGUAUUUUGUCAUAGUUUCAAUAAUUUAAAAGAAAUAAUAAUUUCCCCAGUAUUCUUUAAAUCCACUAUCUAAAGCCAACAGAUGUACACCCGAGGUCAAGUCCAUCUCAGUGGAAGCUGGAAGCGAAGAUGACAGGUGGACAUUCUCUCUCUUUCAAUAUUAUUAUUUUGAAAAAGAUGCUACAAAAGUAUGGAUCCAAAAGAAGUCAGACCUUUGGAGGACUUUUAAUUUGUAUUUUAACAAAAACCUUCACAACAACCCUGUUAAGGAGUCUUCAAGCUUUUUCCAACUUUAGUGGAGCUACUCCAAAUGAGGGUAUUCAAGGAGGUCUCCAAAUAGUACCACUAUCUUUCCAGCCAUAGCUUCAUGAAAGGUGAUGAGCUAGGAAAAGGUUGACAAACGACUUGAGACCUGGAAUGAUAUGCUCCGAGAGUGGGAACAAACCUGGGAAGCAAUGCAGACACCUGCCAUGGAAACCAAGACUCCGGCGAUGUUCAUUUCCAUGGGGGAAGUUCCUUUCUUCUGUUUUUGCUGUCAAGGAGAAGUUUCCUGAUGAAAACUGGACCACAGAACCCUCAGACACCUAGAAGAAACAGAAUCGCACAUUCAACACGGUGCAGUCACCCAGGGCUGAAUUAUAACUAGAGAAUAUGCUUCUCAGACAACUAACAGAUAUCUAAAUUUUUAGCCAACCUUCCAAGUAAUACAUGUCAAGUCAAGGGGGAAGCCUUGGUGAGUAUUACCAGGAGCUUAUGAUGGACUCAGGGUCAGGACAAGCAACCCCAAAGUCCUACCAGCAGCUCAACAUGACUCCCAGGUCUUCCGCAGCUGCAGUGUCUGCCGACAAACUCACCACAGCAGUGAGAGUGGACAUUCUCCUGAGCUGAGAUAAGAAGAAUGGCCAAAGGUUGCCGGUCUUCUACCACAUUAUUCCAUUUCACGACAGUGAGAUGAAUGUGUAUAAGUUUAUUUUGUAAGACCCCCAAAUUCCCACAGAUAAUGAAGUCAAGAGGCUGUUAAACUAAUCCUAAUAAAACUUUCAGGAUGAUUUAUGCAAGCACCGUAUUUUUGCUGGAUGUAUUUAGACCAUCACUGACCUAGCUUAUCAUGGUAUAUAUAUAUAUAAUUAACACAUACUAAGGAGGAAAAUCAUCUUGUUCUAUACUAUGAUCAAAUUUAGUUGCUGGUAAAAUUAUGCAUGCCCAUCUUUAUUGUCUAGCAUUUAUAAAAUAAGUGAUAUUUAUCAAUGUCAAGGUAAAACCUCAAAAUGUGGGCAAAAAGGCCCAUAAAUUUCCAAGUGGACAGAACCAUAAACAUCUUGUACUAAAUUUCACAUUAACUACUUAUUCUUAGCAAAAAGCGAGCAGUUUCUGAAAGCUAGAAACAGCUAGCUUGGUCUAGCUUAUAAACAGCUAGACCAAGAAGCAAGUCGAGGGCGGUGGUUUUAUAAGUGGUUCUAUUGCCUACAGCAGCGUUUUCAACACACACACACAACAGUAUUUACCUAGCUAUUGUGCCAGGCAUUAAUAUCUUAUAUUCAAUUAUAUAUAUACAUAAUUUUUCAAAUGCUGGCAAAGAAGUACUUAAUGGAUUCCAUGACGUACCUAUUGCUACAGUUCCAUCUUGACUGGAGACUAGAAUCACCUGAAAAGCUUCCAAAUAUCCUGUUGCCCAGGCCAUGCUCCAGACCAAUUAGAACCUCCAGGGUGAGGCCCAGGCAUCGGAAUUGUCUUAAGUUCAUGGGUGAUUCCAAUAGCCACAUUUGAGAAAUGCUACCUUAAAGGGCACUGAGUGAUCCACAGGCUGAAGAGCACUGUUACAGGACAGGCCCAGUGUGGACACCCACAGCCUCCUCUACGCCAGGGGCCCUUCACCUGGGUGAUUUUUUUUCUCCAGGAGAUAUGUGGCAAAGUCUAGAAGCAUUUUUGGCUAUCACAGCUGGGAGGGAGGUGCUACUACCAUCUACUGAGUAGAGGCCAGGGAUGCCGCUAAACAGCCUACAGUGCACAGGACAGCUCCACAACAGUCACUCACGAUGUCAACAGGGCAGAAACUGAGAAAUCCUGUCAUCCCUUUUGACUGACUGACUGUUAGCACCACUCAAACCUCUACUGGAUCCCCAGUUUGAAUCCCCCAAUUGACAGCCCUUUCUGUGCUAGAAAUUAUGUGGUCUAGCACUUACUAAAGAACGAGCACAGCGCGGGAAGCUCUGAGGUGAUCGGUCGCUCAUAAGCAGGGCGGACGCCGCAGCCGCUCGCAAGAGGCACGGCUUAUGGCACACGCGUCUGCUGCGCACCAGGCAUGGUGAGGUGCCAUCCAGUGUGGUGAUUUCCAAAUGCCCUGAUGCCAGUCAUGGGCAAAACCAGUGCGGAACAUUUAGCUUUGACCUCAUUUUGAGGUCACCUGCAUAUGAAAAAGCGCCUGAGGUAUUUUUCUGCCAAACGAUAAGCUGCCCACCUGUGUGGAAACCCGCUGAGGCUUAGCCACUCGCCAACGCUGAACUCCUAACAGUGUUCAUCGGCGUUCUGACUUGAGCACUGUAGUAAAAUCUUUUCACUGAGAAGCACUUAUACUAAAAAGGCAUUUUUAUCAGGCCUGUCUCACACACACACACACACGCACAAAACCACAACAAUCCACAGUAGUCCAGAGGCCCCUGUCCCACCGCCAGCACAGCCUGAGCGUUUCGGCAAGUGUCCCUGGAUAUCUACUUUUCGGUCAUGUUACAGCUAUAAACUACAAUUGGGGUUUAAAUAUGUUAUCCAUAGAGCACAGUUUUUUUUUCAGAGUGGAAAGUUGAGACAUAUCACACUGGUGCAUUCCCGAGGCAAGAAAGCAAAGAGUGUAAAUAAGAGAAGCAAUCGGGAGCAACUUUGGAAUAUAUCUUGAAGUAAUUAAAAAGUGAUGCCGUGAUGCAGCUGAUUCUUCCAAAAGGAAUGACUCCUGCCGAUGCCUCCUCACACCGGCCGGCCGCCGUCGUCUUCCGAGCCAGCAGCAAUAAGCUUCAUACACUCAGGGCUGAGGAAUUUGGCAAUGGAGUUCACUGCCACUCCUCAGGCGCAUUCCAAGAAGAAGAAAGCAAGGCUGCCAGGGGCAGUGAGGUGUCCCUGACUGCAGGUCAGUGGAAAUUUCCUGCUUCAGCAAGGGGUGAGCUAGCAUCCUCUCCCGACCGCCAGCUCGCCUGGCUGUGACAAAGCUGGAGCUGACAUAGGCCUCCCCCGAUCCCCAGGACCUCUAGCAGGUAUUGUUCAGAUGUUAUUUCCAUCUGAUCCUCAGGACCCUGAGGUAGGCUACUGUGAUCUCCACAGGAGUGAGGCAGAAACCCCAGAGAGGACAAUGGCCUCCACAAGGUCAGAGAAUCAGCCCCAGGGCCAGACCAGAACAUGAGACUUCUGACUCCUGGUCACAGCUGGCCUCUGUGUGAACCCUUCCAGAAAGAAGACCUCACUGGCUCCCAAGACAGAUGAUUUCAGUUCUUUCUUUCUAUCUGUAAGAUUCACCUUUUAUUCACUAGUCUUAGCCAUGCCUACCAGACCAAAGAAUUCCUUUCUCUUUCUUCCAUGGGAGGAGACUUCAUUUAAUGAUGCCAUCUGACCUUGAUCACCUGUUCACUUCUUCAAGGCAACAUUCAACUCCUUCUUCAACUCCUUCCCAGACACUAUGGUUGUCAGAGCUUCACCAGCGUAGUCUCCAUAACAUAGUGCUGGGACAAGAUUCAGGGUCUCCAGGUGUGGACUAAAUAACUAAGUUUUAUAUGCAUAGCCUCUACAUUUUCAUCUAAAUCCCUAAGAAAUUGAACAAGAUGAGGCUGAAAUCUGUGAUUCACAGGUACACUUCCACAUUAACCUGAGCAUAUUAACAGUCUUCGCUGGGGUCCCAAGUUGCUCAACCAACUACAAAGCGACCCCACAGAACUGUCCUCAUAUUUGUAAGGGCAUCAUGCUAGAACCUGCCAAGAGUCCUGAUGUAAGAAAGUCAUGAUACAUCUAUGUCAUUCCUCUAUUCUACCAGUCAAUGUUCCAGACCCUGCUUUAACUUCAUGAUGUAGCAUCCUUAUGAGAGUCUGGCUUGGGUUAAAAUUUAUGUAAGAACAUAAGAUACAGAGAGAAUAGCAAAACACAUAAGAAAUAGAGGAAAAAUAAUUUUCUAAUGUGAGGAGUUGCAAUCAUUAUUGCAAGGAAAAUAACUACUUGAAUGUAUAAGAAAAAAACAACUUAUUUUUCUUUAUACUCACACCACUUUUAAUAGUUUACUUCUGAGAACAGAUGUGUGGUGUUUUUUUCCAUACCAACCAAUUCUCCAACUCACUGGAUACCAACUAGUAUCAUGUAUUUCAAUUAAAUUCUGAUACUAUCUACCUGGAGAUAGCAUCAGAUCACAUAGGCUAGGACUCAGUCCCCCAAGCCUGCCCCCACCAGUUGAAAAUCCAAGUGCUUCUACUGAUUGGCUAUAAAUAAAAAAACCCUGAGGUUCAAUUAUUUGCUAGAAUGGCUCACAGAAUU